rnacentral:rRNA from 1 species
GUGGGGAAUAUUGGGCAAUGGGCGAAAGCCUGACCCAGCAACGCCGCGUGAAGGAAGAAGGCCCUCGGGUUGCAAACUUCUUUUAAGAGGGACGAAAGAAAUGACGGUACCUCUUGAAUAAGCCACGGCUAACUACGUGCCAGCAGCCGCGGUAAUACGUAGGUGGCGAGCGUUAUCCGGAUUUACUGGGUGUAAAGGGCGUGUAGGCGGGAGUGCAAGUCAGAUGUGAAAAUUAUGGGCUCAACCCCUAACCUGCAUUUGAAACUGUUCUUCUUGAGUGAUGGAGAGGCAGGCGGAAUUCCGUGUGUAGCGGUGAAAUGCGUAGAUAUACGGAGGAACACCAGUGGCGAAGGCGGCCUGCUGGACAUUAACUGACGCUGAGGCGCGAAAGCGUGGGGAGCAAACAGGAUUAGAAACCCUAGUAGUCC